UUUUAUUUAAACAAUACCACGUAUGGGAUUAUAUUUUUAACCGAAAACAAAUUCAAACAAAUAUAUAAACGUUUUGGGCACCCGUUAAUUAAUAAAUUAUGGAGGUUUUUAUAACGGGUAAGGGAAAAAGCAAAUUUUAAAACUAUAAAAAUAAUUAAUAAAAUUUGCCAUUUUUGCUAAAAAAAGGGAAAAACGCCCCAACGUUUUAAAUUCGCUUUAAAGGAUAAUAUCGAUUUUAAUUACGAAAUAAUUGUUAAUAUAAUAUAUUUGGAAAGACGCCCGGUAUUUUAUAUAAUCAAUAUAAGCACCGUUUUCCAAAUAACCAAAUUCCUGACGGAUAUAUUAGCCAAAAAAACCUAGGAAACGUUAAAAUAAUAUUGGAUCGAUAUAUAUUUAGAAUUAUUUAACGUAUUAACGUUCGACCCGGAAUCCAAUUUCCGUGCAACCAAAUUCCACGCAAAAAUACGGUUAUUAAAUAUAUUAUAUAACCAAAUACCGGUGGAAAUAUAUUGGGUAAUAGGUAAAAUCGAAAAAUUUUAUAUAUUAUUAAGGCGAACGUACGAAAUUAUCCGUACCGAAUGCGGUACGAAAUAUUUGCAAAAAAUUGCCCUACAAAUAGUAAUAAAAACGGUUAAUAAUACCGCAGGGCCGAACGGUUUGGUAUUAAUAUUGCUAGUAUUUGGGGCAAUAUUUAAAAUUACGAUGGAUUUAUUUCCAAUACCCAACCAAAUAAAAAAAACGGCGGUAAUUAAUAAAAUUAUAACGGAAUUACGGAAAUUUACCGCCAAAAAAAAGUUAAACAACGCGUUAAUCGCAAAAAACGGCCUAAAAUUAUCGAACCAAUUUCCACGUACGUUGAAAUUAAGGGUAAAAAUGCUGGUAUACCGAAAAAAAAAUAAUUGGAGUGGCCCAUAUAAAGUCGUUUUAAUAACGGAAAAUAACGUAAAAAUUACCUUCCCCAACGGGAAUUCGGAUUUUAAAAAUAUUUACGUAAAACCAUAUUACAAAUAUUAAAAUUAAAAAAAGAAGGUAUAAAGAAAAAACGAUUUUAUUUACUUUAAAAAAAACUAUUUACGGUUUAGGGGGAAAUUAAAAACGGUAUUAAAAACGCCAAAAAAGUUGUUAAUAAUAAUGGCGGUUAAUUUAACGCAAAAACCGCCCCUUAAUUUAGGGGUAAUUGCCCCUAAAACGAAUAUAACGCCGAACAAUUUGACGAUCGAAAUGGCAAUUAAACCCGAGAAAUAUCGACGCAAUGGACGAAACAGGAAAUCCAAAAUGCAAUUCGAUACGCUAAUAUCGGAUAAAAAAAACCACGUUUAUAACCUGGUUAUUAAAUAUAGGGUAAAAAACAAGAUUACGGUAAUAGGGGUUCCAUUCGAAUAAUUAAACGCCGCCGAAAUCGAAAUAUUAUUAAAU
rnacentral:sRNA from 1 species